rnacentral:misc_RNA from 1 species
GAUGAAGAACGCAGCGAACUGCGAUAAGUAAUGUGAAUUGCAGAAUUCAGUGAAUCAUCGAGUCUUUGAACGCACAUUGCGCCCCCUGGCAUUCCGGGGGGCAUGCCUGUCCGAGCGUCAUUGCUGCCCUUCAAGCCCGGCUUGUGUGUUGGGUCGUCGUCCCCCCCGGGGGACGGGCCCGAAAGGCAGCGGCGGCACCGCGUCCGGUCCUCGAGCGUAUGGGGCUUUGUCACCCGCUCGAUUAGGGCCGGCCGGGCGCCAGCCGGCGUCUCCAACCUUUUAUUUUACCAGGUUGACCUCGGAUCAGGUAGGGAUACCCGCUGAACUUAAGCAUAUCAUAAGCGGAGGA